GACGAACGCUGGCGGUGUGCCUAAUACAUGCAAGUCGAACGGUUUAGUUGCAAGAGGUUGGUCUCUUGGAAGUAAGCAGUGGGGGACGGGAGAGUAACACGUAGGCAACCUACUUGGUAAAGCGGGAUAACCGCGGGCAUACGAAGCUACACCCGAAGAACUACCGUUUACGCAUGAAGGGGUUGGGAACUUGCGCGAUCUGAUGACAGAUGGUCCUGCGGCGUAUUUGCUAGUAGGUAGGGUAACGGCCUACCGAGGCGAUGAUGCGUAGCCGACCUGAGAGGGCGUACGGCCACACUGGGACUGCGAUACGGCCCAGACUCCUACGGGAGGCAGCAGUAGGGAAUCUUAGGCAAUGGGCGAAAGCCUGACCGAGCAACGCCGCGUGAGUGAGGAAGGCCUUCGGGUUGUAAAACUCUGUUGUUUGGGAAGAAGGGAAAGGGUAGGACCCUUAGGUGACGGUACCAAACGAGAAAGCCCCGGCUAACUACGUG
rnacentral:rRNA from 1 species